CCAGGCUCUUUCCACUACGCGCAGCGAGGCGCGUAGUGGAAAGAGCCUGGGU
rnacentral:miRNA from 1 species